AAUCAACGCUGGCGGCGUGCCUCAGACAUGCAAGUCGAACGCGAAAGGUUCCUUCGGGAGCCGAGUAGAGUGGCGCUCGGGUGAGUAACACGUAGGUAAUUUGCCUUUGGGUGGGAAUAACAAUCGGAAACGGUUGCUAAUACCGCAUAAUGCAGCGGCUCGACAUCGAGACAGUUGUUAAAGCGGGGGAGUCCUUCGGGACCGUCGCGCCUAAAGAGAAGCCUGCGGCGGAUUAGCAGUUGGUGAGGUAAUGCUCACCAAGGCGCGAUCCGUAACCGGCCUGAGAGGGCGGACGGUCACACUGACACUUAAAUACGGGUCAGACUCCGUACGGGAGGCAGCAGUCGGGGUAAUUUUGGGCGAAUAGGGCGAAAGCCUGACCCAGCAACGCCGCGUGAAGGAUGAAAUCCCUCGGGAUGU
rnacentral:rRNA from 1 species